AGCCUGUCACCCUCAGCAGAGCUCUGGGGUGUCUGCACCAUGGCCUGGGCCCCGCUCCUCCUCCUCACCCUCCUCCUGCACUGCACAGGGUCCCUGUCCCAGCCUGUGCUGACUCAGCCGCCCUCUGCAUCUGCCUCCCCGGGAGCCUCGGCCAAGCUCACCUGCACCCUGAGCAGUGCGCACAGCAGCUACACCAUUGCGUGGCAUCAGCAGCAGCCAGGGAAGGCCCCUCGGUACUUGAUGUGGGUUAACAGUGCUGGAAGCCACAGCAAGGGGGACGGGAUCCCCGAUCGCUUCUCUGGCUCCAGCUCCGGGGCUGACCGCUACUUGACCAUCUCCAACAUCCAGCCUGAGGACGAGGCUGACUAUUACUGUCAGACCUGGGACAGUGGUAUUAAUCACAGUGACACAGACAGAUGA